AAAAAACAUAGACCAUACAUUACCAAAAACCCAGCAAAAACGAAAACCCCCCUCCACGCUGAAACCCGUCAAAUAUUCCCUUCCCCCCUCACGCCAGAACGGACGUGGCAAACCCAAGGGAGCAGAACGGAAAUCACGCGAAAUUUCAAAACCUACGCGCGAGAGAUUCGACAGAAACAGCAGCCACGCUGUCUCGCUCUCUCUCCUCCUCUGCCUCAUUCUGCUCUUGUGCAGUUGCUUUCGGCGAAAGCAGACCUGCGUGUUCAUCCUUGGUUGCGGGAGAUUGAGCCACGUAGUGCAAAAAGGACUACAUUUCAUGAUCCGAGGCGUCAAUUUCUCCCUUUCCCCUUUUGGGAUGGGACGAAAUAAGGGGAAUUCUUCACAGAAUAUGGUUUGCUUCGUUAUAGGAAAAAAUUCAAAAAUUUGAGUUUAGGUGGGUUUCGAACCCGAUUUCGAUUCCGGGUUUCCGAUUCCUUUGACCUAAUCUCUCCAUCUAUAUAUUGUCGCUUUCUUCUACUUCAAGGGGGGAUUUUUUUUGAGAAAAAUUUUUCUAGCGACUUAAGAAAGAAUCGACGAACUAUAUACAUAAGAGGCCGAUUUCUGUUCGAGGUUAGAUUUUUGGGGUUGGAAAAUUUUGUUGAAAAUUUUCAAGAGAGAAACUUGGGGUGGAGGAAAAAUCUUGCAAAUAUUUUUGGUUCUCUUCUGUUUUGUUGUAGGAGAACAGUGGUUUGGACGAUUUUUCUUUGAGAGUUGGAGAGUUAUCACGAAGAUUCAUAAAGGUUUUCUGGAGAAAACACUUUUUUUUUCGUCUGUUGUAGGAGAACCAUCGAGAUUUUUUCUUUUGGUUAUCUUCUUGUUCGUUGUCGGGAGAAGUAGAGGAGGUGUGUUGUCAUUUUCCUGUUCAAACGAACUAAGGGAGAGCCUUAAGCGGUCUUAGAGAGAGUUUUCCAAGAUUGCGAUGAGCACAAAGUUGGCAGAUUGGCGAGUUAACCGACCCCGCAGCUUCCAUUUCAUCGUUUGUUGUUCGUGUCUUCGUUUGGGGUGGAAGUUAUCAUUGUCGCUGCUCAUUCUCAUCUCACUUCACUGAUCUCAGAGAGGUAAUGCCCCUAUAUAUUUUUGUUCUGCUUCAAUCAUCCGAUGAUUAUCUGUUGGUUUCCUUGUUUCGUUUGUGUUCUGGCUCCUAGUUAAGUUUUAUAUUUUUCCUUGAUCGAAUCUUGGCGUUUCGGUAUUUUCGGACUGUUUAUAGGCUGUGUGGUGUGUUGUUUUGGGUCGACAUGGACAUUGUUUCCAUUGGUGUAUCUAGUCGCAGAGAGGCAUAUUAGAUUUAUUUGUCGUCUUGCUCGUAGGAUAGUUUUGUCCCUUGUUUAGUUUGUUACUGCUGUAUUAAAAUUUUUCUGGUUUGAAUGAGGUCAGCCAGUCGGUUGUCGCUCCAAGUGAUUUACUCAUGUGAUAUGUUCGUCUUCGAAAAUCCAUGAACACAGAAGAUGGUGUGUGAGUUUGCUUUGUGCUAUCUGUGGGAUUGUAUUUUAUCCUUCCUUUGGGUUCGUUUGCGAAGCCGCGUCAAGUUUGUCUCUUGGUAUUUUGGAGUCGGUUAUAUGAAAAUGCGAUUCAAGUGAAUACGUGUGGGCUUUGUAUAUUUAGAAACUGUCUUUUAGUUUCGAAGCUAUUAUCCUCUUUGUUUAAACAUCUCCUUGGUUGCAUUUGUUUCAUUCUCUAAGUGUUUUACUCAUUUUGAACUCGUUUUGUUUUAGUGUGCAUAGUCUGGGGAUGCUUGCAAGUUUUUUUUUAUUAUUUAUAACUGCUUCCAAAGCAGCAUGCCAUCCAAGUUUGUUGACAUUUCUUUUCCUUCUCUUAAUAGCUUAUGUACUACUUUUUGAUUGCCUCAAUACAUGACUUGUGUAGAUUUUUUUUUAGUAUUUAGAAAGCUCUUUGUGGGAUAGGUUUGUUCUCGUAAGUAUAAAUCUUUGUGGCACAUUUCAUCAUUUUUGUCCACCUACUGUGAUCCUUUUAUAUGUGUGUGUGUGUGUGUGUUUAUUUUGCUACCAUCUUGGUCGUUCCGUUUUUGUUGACUUAUUUUGAAUAGGAAUUUAGUUUGAUGUCUCAUAUUGUUGAAAGUAUUAUUUGUCUUCUAAGGCAUAGUUUUGAAUUAUGCAUUAUUAUUUCGUUUAUUUGCUUGAUAUAGUUGUAAUUCUGUUACUUCCAUCAAGGAAAUGAGAACUUGGUAAGGAGAGGGAAUUAAUUAGUACAGGAACAGAGAAAUAAGUUGAUCUACGUAGCGUUUAUGCUUCGGCAUUUUAUGGGGUUCAUUAUGUCGGGCGUGUGAUGGUGCGUUUCCAAUGAAAAUUGAGAAUCUAUUAGAGAGCAUGUUCUAACUUAUUUAUUUUUCUUCUGGCAUGUAAAUCUGCUCGAGUUCCCUACGAACUCCCCCUCUUUGCAUCUCGAGAAAGCCAUGAAGGCUCAAAAAUUCUUAUCGAGUCAAUCCGCCAAAAUGGGCAAAAUGUAGAAAGUCAAGUGUCGUAAAUAUUGAAGAAGAUGGACUAGAAGACUUUUUCAUUAUCGUUAUUUUGUAUUCUUGUAAUGGGCAUAAGCCCUCGUUAAUUUACUUUCUCAUAUUUUUAUUUUAUAUGUUUAGAGUAGGACAGGUGAACAUGGGUCAAGAACCCAAAAGCAGGUGGGUCCAAAACUUGAUCAAGGCGAACAGAACCCGAAUUUGGACCCAAAAAUCUCUCUCUCUCUCUCUCUCUCCCACUCUCUUUCUUUAUUACUUGCUUAUGUGCAUUGCUUAAACGUCGUUAGCCUAGGACUAGAAAACUACAAAUCCCCUUUGAAGCGCCUUUCUAUUUUAUCAAGCUAAAACUAAGUCUUAAGACAACAAUAUUUCAAACUCAUAAAGCUCGUUUAGAUAAAAACCUUAAGGAAGUUAAACUUCGAAACAGAUCCGCAAAUUUGCAAGAUAAAUAAUGAAUAUUUCAAAACUUGUAAAUUUGCCUAAGUAUUUUUCUAAUAAGUUCAAUAACAAAAGAUUCGCAAACAUUAAGGUAAAAUAGUCAAAUAAGUUAAUCGCCGGAAACCGUAGUUAGCGGAGCGUCUUAUGUGCUUUUUCGAAACCUUCCUAAGACGCUAAUAGAAUCCCGAACCCUUAAAAUUUUUCAAACGAUUUCCUGUUUAAUUAUUUGAAAACAAGUUUCUUAAUUUUCUCAAAAUUAAGUGGCGACUCUUAAAAAUGUUGAAAAUAUCCUUUAAAAUCAACGAACUCUUUUCGAAAUUAUUUUUCGAUAAAACAGCUUGUAUAUGUGCAUAAGGUCUCAUGCAUAGUACAUGUGGAGUACUAACCCCAUUUUCUUCCCUUUUCCCAAACAUUUUAGGUUCCGAUCGUUGAAGAGUUUGGAAGGCGACAUUGUUGAAGGCUUGGAUUCUUCAUUUCAUCCAAGUAGGGUAGGUCCUCAACUUCCGAGGGCAAUGCCACUAUCUAGCUUAUGGACUUGUUAUGAGCUUAAAAAAUCUUUCAUUUCUUUUCUUUUCAAUUGGGUAUCAUACUUUUGUAUGACCUAUAUGUGGUCUUGUUGUAUUGAGGACUAUGCCCAUAUAGGGAUAAUCGUUUAGAUGGUUUGAUAUGAGACAAUCUUUGAGACUAUUUCACUAUCAUAUAUAUAUGUAUGUACAAUAAAAGUAGAAGGCUUUGUAACAUUCCUAUUUGAAGGUUCUAUGUAUACUCAAUACGACUAUAUAUAAUGUGUCUCUAGAGGUCUAUGUAAACCUCCAAGUAUUUAUAAUGAAAGUUUUAAGUUUUUCCACAUUUUUCAACCUAUGAAUGUAAUGACCUGACACUAAGAGGCUAGUCUUAGUCUUUGAAAAGGACGAUGACGAUGGUUACGUCUAGGGGUAGGAUGUGAAAAACUUGGUAUCAAAGCAUGAGGUCAAAUAUUGUUGAGUUAUGUCUCUCUCUCUACCACAUCUACUCUCUCUCUCUCUACCACAUCUAUGUAGGUUGUAUUCAUAAUUGUGAAGCGCACCACACUUAUGAGUAGGAACCUAUAUGAUGCUAAGAAAUUGCACUUUUUCAUGGAAAUCUUAUAUCGAGC
rnacentral:lncRNA from 1 species